rnacentral:rRNA from 1 species
UACGUAGGGGGCGAGCGUUGUCCGGAUUCAUUGGGCGUAAAGAGCUCGUAGGCGGCGCGGUAAGUCGGGUGUGAAAUCUCGGAGCUUAACUCCGAAACUGCAUUCGAUACUGCCGUGCUUGAGGACUGGAGAGGAGACUGGAAUUUACGGUGUAGCGGUGAAAUGCGUAGAUAUCGUAAGGAAGACCAGUGGCGAAGGCGGGUCUCUGGACAGUUCCUGACGCUGAGGCACGAAGGUCAGGGGAGCAAACGGG